rnacentral:rRNA from 1 species
AACGGCGAGUGAAGCGGCAACAGCUCAAAUUUGAAAUCUGGCUCUUUUAGAGUCCGAGUUGUAAUUUGCAGAGGGCGCUUUGGCUUUGGCAGCGGUCCAAGUUCCUUGGAACAGGACGUCACAGAGGGUGAGAAUCCCGUACGUGGUCGCUGGCUAUUGCCGUGUAAAGCCCCUUCGACGAGUCGAGUUGUUUGGGAAUGCAGCUCUAAAUGGGAGGUACAUUUCUUCUAAAGCUAAAUAUUGGCCAGAGACCGAUAGCGCACAAGUAGAGUGAUCGAAAGAUGAAAAGCACUUUGGAAAGAGAGUCAAACAGCACGUGAAAUUGUUGAAAGGGAAGCGCUUGCAGCCAGACUUGCUUACAGUUGCUCAUCCGGGUUUUUACCCGGUGCACUCUUCUGUAGGCAGGCCAGCAUCAGUUUGGGCGGUAGGAUAAAGGUCUCUGUCACGUACCUCCUUUCGGGGAGGCCUUAUAGGGGAGACGACAUACUACCAGCCUGGACUGAGGUCCGCGCAUCUGCUAGGAUGCUGGCGUAAUGGCUGUAAGCGGCCCGUCUUGAAACACGGACCAAGGAGUCUAACAUCUAUGCGAGUGUUUGGGUGUCAAGCCCGAGCGCGUAAUGAAAGUGAACGGAGGUGGGAACCCGCAAGGGUGCACCAUCGACCGAUCCUGAUGUCUUCGGAAGGAUUUGAGUAAGAGCAUGGCUGUUGGGACCCGAAAGAUGGUGAACUAUGCUUGAAUAGGGUGAAGCCAGAGGAAACUCUGGUGGAGGCUCGCAGCGGUUCUGACGUGCAAAUCGAUCGUCAAAUUUGGGCAUAGGGGCGAAAGACUAAUCGAACAUCGUUCAGAAU